rnacentral:rRNA from 1 species
AUUGAGCGUUGGCGGCGUGGAUUAGGCAUGCAAGUCGUGCGGAAAGGCUCCUUCGGGAGUACUCGAGCGGCGCAAGGGAGAGUAACGCGUGGAUAUCUACCCCCUGGACUGGGAUAGCGGCGGGAAACUGCCGGUAAUACCAGAUAAUGUCUGCGGACCAAAGGUGUGAUUCCGCCGGGGGAUGAGUUCGCGUCCUAUUAGCUAGGUGGUAGGGUUAUGGCCUACCAAGGCAAAGAUGGGUACCGGGUGGGAGAGCAUGGCCCGGCUCACUGGUACUCAGACACUGCCCAGACGACUACGGGUGGCUGCAGUCGAGAAUCUUCGGCAAUGGGCGCAAGCCUGACCGGGCGACGCCGCGUGCGGGAUGAAGGCCUUCGGGUUGUAAACCGCUGUCAGAGGGGAGGAAAUGCGUGAGAGUUCUCUCUCACGUUUGACCUAUCCUCAGAGGAAGUACGGGCUAAGUUCGUGCCAGCCGCCGCAGUAAUAC